rnacentral:rRNA from 1 species
CAUAAGAAGUUCCCUACUUGUUCUCGUACUCUCUUUUUUUUAUGAGAUCGUGCUUCUCCUUCGGGAGCAGAGUGACAGGUCGUGCAUGGUUGUCGUCAGCUCGUGUCGUGAGAUGUUGGGUUAAGUCCCGCAACGAGCGCAACCCUUGAUCUUAGUUGCCAUCAUUAAGUUGGGCACUCUAAGGUGACUGCCGGUGACAAACCGGAGGAAGGUGGGGAUGACGUCAAAUCAUCAUGCCCCUUAUGACCUGGGCUACACACGUGCUACAAUGGACGGUACAAAGAGCUGCAAGACCGCGAGGUGGAGCUAAUCUCAUAAAACCGUUCUCAGUUCGGAUUGUAGGCUGCAACUCGCCUACAUGAAGCUGGAAUCGCUAGUAAUCGCGGAUCAGCAUGCCGCGGUGAAUACGUUCCCGGGCCUUGUACACACCGCCCGUCACACCACGAGAGUUUGUAACACCCGAAGUCGGUGGGGUAACCUUUAUGGAGCCAGCCGCCUAUGGUGGACCAGAGU